rnacentral:rRNA from 1 species
GUCGAGAAUCUUUCACAAUGGGGGCAACCCUGAUGGAGCGACGCCGCGUGGAGGAUAAGGUCUUCGGAUUGUAAACUCCUGUCAUGCGUGAACAAGGUUGCUUGGUUAAUACCUGGGCAAAUUGUUGGUAACGCAAGAGGAAGAGACGGCUAACUCUAUGCCAGCAGCCGCGGUAAUACAGAGGUCUCAAGCGUUGUUCGGAAUCACUGGGCGUAAAGGGUGCGUAGGUGGCGUGGUAAGUCAGAUGUGAAAGCCCGGGGCUGAACCUCGGAACUGCAUCCGAUACUGCCAUGCUAGAGUACUGGAGAGGUGACUAGAAUUCUCGGUGUAGCAGUGAAAUGCGUAGAUAUCGAGAGGAAUACCAAAGGCGUAGGCAGGUCACUGGACAGUUACUGACACUGAGGCACGAAGGCCAGGGGAGCGAACGGGAUUAGAUACCCGUGUAGUCC